UACGGAGGGGGCUAGCGUUGUUCGGAAUUACUGGGCGUAAAGCGCACGUAGGCGGCUUUGUAAGUUAGAGGUGAAAGCCCGGGGCUCAACCCCGGAACUGCCUUUAAGACUGCAUCGCUUGAAUCCAGGAGAGGUGAGUGGAAUUCCGAGUGUAGAGGUGAAAUUCGUAGAUAUUCGGAAGAACACCAGUGGCGAAGGCGGCUCACUGGCCCGAUACUGACGCUGAGGCCCGAAAGCGUGGGGAGCAAACAGG
rnacentral:rRNA from 1 species